GUUCGAUUAUGGCUCGGGUGAACGCUGGCGGGAUGCUUUACACAUGCAAAGUCGAGCAGCGGCACGGACUUCGGUCCUGGUGGCGGUGGCGAACGGGUGAGUAAUGUAUCGGAACGUGCCUGGUGGCUGAGGGGAUAACUGCGGCAGCAGCUAAUACCGCAUACGCCCUUCGAAGCGGGGGACCUUCCGGGCCCUCUGCUAAUGGGAAGCGGCCGAUAUCGGAUUAGCUGGUUAGUGCAGAGUAACGGCUCACCGGUGACGAUCGUCGACUGGUUGAGACGACCAGCCACACUGGGACUGAGACACGGCGGACUCUACGGGAGGCAGCAGUGGGGAAUUUUGGACAAUGGAAGCCUGAUCAGCCAUCCGAUGCGAUGAAGGCCUUCGGGUUGUAAAGCACUUUUGGCAGGAAAGAAACGGCUGGGAUAAUACCCCGUGCAACUGACGAAAACACCUGCAGAAUAAGCACCGGCUAACUACGUGCCAGUAGCGGUAAUACGUAGGGUGCAAGCGUUAAUCGGAAUUACUGGGCGUAAAGGCGUGCGCGAGCGGUUCGGAAAGAAAGAUGUGAAAUCCCAGGCUUAACUUUGGAACUGCAUUUUUAACUACCGAGCUGGUGUGUCAGAGGAGGUGGAAUUCCGCGUGUAGCAGUGAAAUGCGUGGGUAUGCGGAGGAACACCGUUGGCGAAGGCAAUAUCUGGAUGUUACUGACGCUCAUGCCGAAAGCGUGGGGAGCAAGGCUGGAUUAGAUGCUACUGGUAGUCCACGCCCUAAACGAUGUCAACUAGUAACUGUUGGGGCCUUCGGGCCUUGGUAGAAGCGCAGCUAACGCGUGAAGUUGACCUGCUUGCAAGAAUUUUGAAUAGCAAGAUUAAAACUCGAAUUGACAGGGACCCGCACAAGCGGUGGAUGAUGUGGAUUAAUUCGAUCGCGCGAAGAGCCUUACCUGCUGUGUCUGGACCCGAAGAGAUUUGGGAGUGCUCGCAAGAGAACCGGAACUGGGCUGCAUGGCUGUCGUCAGCUCGUGUCGUGAGAUGCUGGGUUAAGUCCGUAACGAGCGCAACCCUUGUCGUGGUUGCUACGAAAGGGCACUCUAAUGAGACUGCCGGUGACAAACCGGAGGAAGGUGGGAUGGCGUCAAGUCCUCAUGGCCCUUAUGGGUAGGAACUGCGUCAUGCAGACUGGUCGGGACAGAGGGUCGCCAACCGCGGGGAGCCAAUCCAGAGCCGAUCGUAGUCCGGAUCGCAGUCUGCAACUCGACUGCGUGAAGUCGGAAUCGCUAUCGUCGGAUCAGCAUGUCGCGGUGAAUACGUUCUGGUGUAUGCACACCGCCCGUCACACCAUGGGAGUGGGUUUUACCAGAAGUAGUUAGCCUAACCGUAAGGAGAACGGUGUACCACGGUAGGAUUCGCUUGGACUUAAGGGUGAAGUCGUAACAAAGGUAG
rnacentral:rRNA from 1 species